rnacentral:tRNA from 1 species
UGAUGUAGCUCAGUCGGUAGAGCGCAUCCUUGGUAAGGAUGAGGUCGGCGGUUCGAAUCCGCCCAUCA